GGCGGGAAGUGGAGUGCUGCUCAUCACCUCCAGCAGAACCCCCGCUGCACGUACCCUGACCCUGGACUUCCGGCUGCUGGAACCACGAGAGGGUCCACUUCUGGCACUCCCGAGCCAUCAGUCUGUGAUGAUUCGCUGCAGCGUCUGGAGGAAACUACCAUGAGCGAGCCACUCAGUCGUGUCCAGCUCUUUGCAGCCCCAUGGACGGCAGCCCACCAGGCUGCAUGGGAUUCUCCAGGUGUAAUUCAUUAAGAGGAGUUCGUACUUGGCCCCUGAUCCAGCAUGACGAGUGUCUUUGUAAAAAGGGGAAAUUUAGACACAGACAAGCAUCGAGGGAAGAUGGUGUGAGAGACACAGGCUGAAGACGGCUGUCGAGAGGCCAAGAACAGAGGUCUGGACCAGAUCCUCAGUCUCAGCCUCGAAGGAACCAGUCCUACUUGAUCAACAGCGUCCAGCCUCCAGAACUGGGAGAGAGCACAGCACUGAGUUCCUUUCCCUGCAUCAUAUGCAGGAGUUUCCAGCAUCUCAACCCUGUUUAAACACGGGGCCACUGCGUCCAGCCUCCAGACCCUCAACUGCCCAGGCAGACUCAGGUGACCCAGAUCGCCGAGUGCCCCUUGGGAUUGGUCUGCUCUCUCAGAAUCCAUCCUGAACACAUUCUACAGUUCUACUGACAGACACUCAGCUUCCUGCAGUUCUCCUGGUGGCCAAGCCUUCACAUCCGGGUGUGACUGGGUGUUGGGACCUCACUGUCCCAGGUCUCAGUGGAUGGGGCUGGGCCAGGAGGUUUGGGGGCAAACUGACUUUUCUCCUACAAAGUAACCUCUCCAAGGAUGUCAUGACUGGGUCUUCAAGUAUGGGGACAACACUGUCUAAUGAGGGGAAAAGGGCUGUGGAGGGUGACGGGGCUCCUGGAGAAUAGGGCUUGGUGUCACCUGGGCUGCCCCACCCCCCACCCACCUUCUCUGGGCCCCAGCCGGAGGCCACAGGUUCACCUUCCGUGUCUCUUUCGGAACAAUCCAAAUCUGCCGUGUGUGACUCCGGACUCAGUUUAAUGGCUAUGAGAGAGGAGACGGGCCGCCACAGGCAGGUUCCUGCCUCCCCGAGAUGAGCAGUCAGGGGCUUGAGCUCAUCUCUGUCCUCCAGGUGGUCUGGCUUCCUUCAAAGGCCCCACCCACCACAGAGUUCUUGAAUUCCUGAUGCCCUGCCUGCUGGCCAAGACGGGGGAUAUGCUCAGUCCCUGGAGCCUGGCUGAGCACAUCAUUCCUGGUGAGCACAGUGGGCCACGGGGGCC
ensembl:lncRNA